GAUGAACGCUGGCGGCGUGCCUAAUACAUGCAAGUCGAGCGAACAGACGAGGAGCUUGCUCCUUUGACGUUAGCGGCGGACGGGUGAGUAACACGUGGGUAACCUACCUAUAAGACUGGGAUAACUUCGGGAAACCGGAGCUAAUACCGGAUAAUAUUUCGAACCGCAUGGUUCGAUAGUGAAAGAUGGCUCUGCUAUCACUUAUAGAUGGACCUGCGCCGUAUUAGCUAGUUGGUAAGGUAACGGCUUACCAAGGCAACGAUACGUAGCCGACCUGAGAGGGUGAUCGGCCACACUGGAACUGAGACACGGUCCAGACUCCUACGGGAGGCAGCAGUAGGGAAUCUUCCGCAAUGGGCGAAAGCCUGACGGAGCAACGCCGCGUGAGUGAUGAAGGUCUUCGGAUCGUAAAACUCUGUUAUUAGGGAAGAACAAACGUGUAAGUAACUGUGCACGUCUUGACGGUACCUAAUCAGAAAGCCACGGCUAACUGCGUG
rnacentral:rRNA from 1 species